GAGAGAUCCAUUAGACAUGAAAUCAUAUACGAGAGCACGUUUAGAUUUCUCAGCAUAAAAACCAACAAGACGAACCACAUUAAUGUGACGAAUUCUCCCAAUUGUAGCAACUUCAUUGAUGAAGUCUCGACCGUUACCUUUGGACAUGUUCAACAUUUUUACUGCAGCAAAAUUACCAGCCUUUAGACAUGUUCAACAUUUUCACUGCAGCAAAAUUACCACUCCGGAGUUUUCCUUUGUAUACAGAGCCAAAACCUCCUUCUCACAGCUUUUCUUUGAGACCGUUUGUUAUCUUUUUUAUUUCUGAGUAAGAGGAUCUAAUUGGGAAGAGAUUGUCAUAACUUUGAAGAAACUCUUCAAUAUUAUCAUAUUUUGAUAAAUGUCUCCUUUGCCAUUUAUAAAUCAAAAAGGAGAAAAGACCUAUUAUCCCACAUAAG
rnacentral:lncRNA from 1 species